UAUCCCCCAAACCAAGGGGGGAUGAGAACACCCGACCGGGGUUCGACAACUGGCGCAGCCAGUUGGACAGACGAGGAGACUGCCCGAAGGGCGAGCGCAGCGAGUCAAUCCCCCCCUCACCGCCA
rnacentral:sRNA from 1 species